AGAGAGAGAGCUAUUUCUUAGGAAUCCCUAAUUCUUGUCGGGUCUUUUAUUUUACUAAUCUGCUACUGAUUCUCGUCAAAUCUGCUGUAUUCUUCAUCUCUUUCUUCUUCUUCUUCUUCUUCUUCUUCUUCUUCUUCUUCUUCUUCUUCAGGUAUGCCCCAAAACUACUCUUGAUUCUUCCCAAUUUUUUUUCACCUCUUCGAUCUGAUCGUGCUCAAUCCGUUUGCCAUUUUCAAUUUAUCUGCUCAUUAUUUUAGCUCAAUCCAUUCAUCUGUAGAAGUAGGACUCGAUUUCGAUCAAUUGUUUAUAAGUCUGAUGACCAUUUGGUUUGGCAUAUUGUUUUUUUUGGGACGUUGUUUAGGGUUUGAUUGGCGGAUAAAGGGAGCUGAAUCAGCUUCAGAAUUGAAUUUGUUCUUCUUUGGAAUUUUUGUUCCGAUUAAGACGAGAGGCUUUUUGUGUUUGGGGGAAUUUCUGAGGAGUUAUGGG
rnacentral:lncRNA from 1 species